AGAUAUUGAUGAAUGUUCAUUUGAAAGGACAUGUGACCAUACGUGCAUCAAUCAUCCAGGUUCUUUUGAGUGUAGUUGUAACAAAGGAUACAUCCUUUAUAGCUUCACAUGUUGUGGAGAUAUUAAUGAAUGUAGCAUCAACAAUGGAGGCUGCCAGCAGAUCUGUGUGAACACACUGGGAGGUUAUGAAUGCCAGUGUCUUUCCAGCCACAAAUUACACUGGAAUAAAAAAGACUGUAUUGGUAAGAGAAAGAGGGGCGGCUGCCUGGUACUAUAUCACCCUAAGUUUUGCUUUCCUGCAUUAAGAAUGGUGGGAGUGAUAGGUGCAUCUUAAACUGUCCCUCUGAGGUCCAUUUGAUUUCUGUGAACAGGAUCUGAUAGAAAUCCUAGUGUUGUCCAUGCCAUUCCACAGCUGGCCAAGAUUGUUCAGUGAUGUGAGGCACUGUCUGUGAAUGAACAUGCUGGCUGCAUGCUACUCCCAGCCUUUGUGUCCCAGGGAGCAGGAAAACAGGACUGGCCUUUAGUUACAGGACCAA